GGCCAGACUCCUACGGGAGGCAGCAGUGAGGAAUAUUGGUCAAUGGGCGCGAGCCUGAACCAGCCAAGUCGCGUGAGGGAUGACGGCCCUACGGGUUGUAAACCUCUUUUGUCGGGGAGCAAAUUCCGCCACGUGUGGCGGAGUCGAGAGUACCCGAAGAAAAAGCAUCGGCUAACUCCGUGCCAGCAGCCGCGGUAAUACGGAGGAUGCGAGCGUUAUCCGGAUUUAUUGGGUUUAAAGGGUGCGCAGGGGGCCUGUUAAGUCAGCGGUAAAAUCGUGGGGCUCAACCCCAUCCAGCCGUUGAAACUGGGGAUCUAGAGUGUGCGAGAGGUAUGCGGAAUGCGUGGUGUAGCGGUGAAAUGCAUAGAUAUCACGCAGAACUCCGAUUGCGAAGGCAGCAUACCGGCGCCCGACUGACGCUGAGGCACGAAAGCGUGGGUAUCGAACAGGAUUAGAUACCCGUGUA
rnacentral:rRNA from 1 species